GAGUUUGAUCCUGGCUCAGAACGAACGCUGGCGGCGUGCUUAACACAUGCAAGUCGAACGUGAUCCGGAGCUUGCUCCGGUGAAAGUGGCGCACGGGUGAGUAACGCGUGGAUAAUCUGCCCUGGUAUCUGGGAUAACAUCUCGAAAGGGGUGCUAAUACCGGAUAGGCCUACGGGAUCCUCGGAUUCUGCAGGAAAAGGUGGCCUCUAUUUAUAAGCUACCGUAUCAGGAUGAGUCCGCGUACCAUUAGCUAGUUGGUGGGGUAAUGGCCCACCAAGGCUACGAUGGUUAGCUGGUCUGAGAGGAUGAUCAGCCACACUGGAACUGAGACACGGUCCAGACUCCUACGGGAGGCAGCAGUGGGGAAUAUUGCACAAUGGGCGAAAGCCUGAUGCAGCGACGCCGCGUGGGGGAUGAAGGCCUUCGGGUUGUAAACCCCUUUCAGCAGGGAAGAAGCGAAAGUGACGGUACCUGCAGAAGAAGCGCCGGCUAACUACGUGCCAGCAGCCGCGGUAAUAC
rnacentral:rRNA from 1 species